UGACUGAGGAUCUUAUUUCCAGUCUGACAAGUAAGGAAAAGGAUCAGGCAGCUUCUGCAGCUCCAGCUCAAAGAACCACAAGUCAAGAUAAAAUGCAGAAAAGUACAUGAGGAUUUUGAUGUGCUCUUCACUAGUGCCCAAUUCAACUCAAGAAACCAGGAACCCACGAAGAAUUAUUUAAACACUUGAACAAAGGCUUUGUUUUCAUUUGGACUUGCCCUGUUUACCAGUUUAUAAGUGCACUAUUCUCUAUAGAAUGCAGGCUAUACAAGUUUCCAUAUCAACAGUCAUUCAGAAUCUAAUACUUGGAAUGGAAAGGUGUGCACAGUU
rnacentral:lncRNA from 1 species